rnacentral:rRNA from 1 species
AGAGUUUGAUUAUGGCUACGAGGACGAACGCUGGCGGCGUGCUUAACACAUGCAAGUCGAACGGGGAUUAGUUGAUUGAGAGCUUCGGCAGGAUAUCGAUUAAUCGAGUGGCGGACGGGUGAGUAACGCGUGAGCAACCUGUCCCAGACAGGGGGAUAACACUUGGAAACAGGUGCUAAUACCGCAUAAGACCACGGGAUCACAUGGUUCUGGGGUAAAAGGAGCAAUCCGGUUUGGGGUGGGCUCGCGUCCGAUUAGCCAGUUGGCGGGGUAACGGCCCACCAAAGCGACGAUCGGUAGCCGACCUGAGAGGGUGAACGGCCACAUUGGAACUGAGAGACGGUCCAAACUCCUACGGGAGGCAGCAGUGGGGAAUAUUGGGCAAUGGGCGAAAGCCCUGACCCAGCAACGCCGCGUGAGUGAAGAAGGCCUUCGGGUUGUAAAGCUCUGUUAUAGUUGACGAAGGAAGUGACGGUAGGCUAUAAGGAAGCCCCGGCUAACUACGUGCCAGCCGCGGC